rnacentral:rRNA from 1 species
UACGUAGGGACCAAGCGUUGUUCGGAUUUACUGGGCGUAAAGGGCUCGUAGGCGGCGUGGUAAGUCACUUGUGAAAUCUCUGAGCUUAACUCAGAACGGUCAAGUGAUACUGCUGUGCUAGAGUGCGGAAGGGGCAAUCGGAAUUCUUGGUGUAGCGGUGAAAUGCGUAGAUAUCAAGAGGAACACCUGAGGUGAAGACGGGUUGCUGGGCCGACACUGACGCUGAUGCGCGAAAGCCAGGGGAGCAAACGGG